rnacentral:rRNA from 1 species
GUCGUUACUACCGAUUGAAUGGCUUAGUGAGGCCUUUGGAUGUGGAUUUGAUUUAGGGCAACCUGACUCGAUCUGCAAAAAUUGGACGAACUUGGUCAUUUAGAGGAAGUACAAGUCGUAACAAGGUUUCCGUAGGUGAACCUUCGGAAGGAUCAUUAUUGAGAUUCUAUUUACACCUGUGAAAUCUAACUUUUACUUGGGUGCGUGCUGCUUUCUAGCUAGCUAGCGCCCGAUACACAAUCAAAACCCCAAUAUUAUUAUGUUUAACCAAAAAGAAAUUCAAAAUUAUCAAUAACGGAUCUCUUGGUUCUCGCAUCGAUGAAGACCGCAGCAAAGCGCGAUAGAUAAUGUGAAUUGCAGACGUGAAUCAUUGAGUUGUUGAACGCACAUUGCACUUUUCUUAACGGAAAAGUAUAUUUUUGCGAGCGUCGAUUCUCUCUCCCAGCAAUGGGGUCUUGGUGCUCUACACAGCACUCAAAACCAUUAUGUUUACAUGUUAACCACAAUGUAAACUCCUAACUUAACCUCAAACGACCUCGUAUAAAAUAAGAGUACCCACUGAACUUAAGCAUA